rnacentral:rRNA from 1 species
UCCUGGCUCAGAACGAACGCUGGCGGCGUGGAUUAGGCAUGCAAGUCGAACGAGAAAGGUUCCUUCGGGAGCUGAGUACAGUGGCAAACGGGUGAGUAACGCGUGGAAAACCUGCCCUUCGGUUGGGGACAACAUCUCUAACGGGGUGCUAAUACCGAAUACCACCACGGAGUCGCAUGGCUCUGUGAUGAAAGGCGGCCUCUACUUGUAAGCCGUCGCCGAAGGAUGGUUCCGCGUCCCAUUAGCUAGUUGGUGAGGUAAUGGCUCACCAAGGCGAGGAUGGGUAGCCGGCCUUAGCGGGUGACCGGCCACACUGGGACUGAGAUACGGCCCAGACUCCUACGGGAGGCAGCAGUCGAGAGGCAUCCACAAUGGGGGAAACCCUGAUGGUGCGACGCCGCGUGGGCGAUGAAGGUCUUCGGAUCGUAAAGCCCUUUCAGCAAGGACGAUAAGGACGGGUGUUAAUAUCAUCCGACCCUAGACGGUACUUGCAUAAGAAGCUCCGGCUAACUCCGUGCCAGCAGCCGCGGUAAGACGGGGGGAGCAAGCGUUGUUCGGAAUUACUGGGCGUAAAGGGCGUCUAGGCGGACUUGUAAGUCAGAUGUGAAAUCCCUCGGCUUAACCGGGGAACUGCAUUUGAUACUGUAGGUCUUGAGUACGGAAGAGGAAAGCGGAAUUCCUGGUGUAGCGGUGAAAUGCGUAGAUAUCAGGAAGAACACCGGUGGCGAAGGCGGCUUUCUGGUCCGUUACUGACGCUGAAGCGCGAAAGUGUGGGGAGCGAACAGGAUUAGAUACCCUGGUAGUCCACACUGUAAACGAUGGAUGCUAGGUGUCGGGGG